GAUUGAUACUAAGCCAUGCGAGUCAUUGUAGUAAUACAAGGCAGACGGCUCAGUAACGCGUAGUCAACCUAACCUAUGGACGGGAAUAACCUCGGGAAACUGAGUAUAAUGCCCGAUAGAACAUUAUGCCUGGAAUGGUUUAUGUUCCAAAUGAUUUAUCGCCGUAGGAUGGGACCGCGGCCUAUCAGUUUGUUGGUGAGGUAAUGGCCCACCAAGACUAUUACAGGUACGGGCUCUGAGAGGAGUAGCCCGGAGAUGGGUACUGAGACACGGACCCAGGCCCUAUGGGGCGCAGCAGGCGAGAAAACUUUGCAAUGUGCGAAAGCACGACAAGGUUAAUCCGAGUGGUUUCUGCUAAAGGAACCUUUUGUCGGUCCUAGAAACACCGAUGAAUAAGGGGUGGGCAAGUUCUGGUGUCAGCCGCCGCGGUAAAACCAGCACCUCAAGUGGUCAGGAUGAUUAUUGGGCCUAAAGCAUCCGUAGCCGGCUCUAUAAGUUUUCGGUUAAAUCUGUACGCUCAACGUACAGGCUGCCGGGAAUACUGUAGAGCUAGGGAGUGGGAGAGGUAGACGGUACUCGGUAGGAAGGGGUAAAAUCCUUUGAUCUAUUGAUGACCACCUGUGGCGAAGGCGGUCUACCAGAACACGUCCGACGGUGAGGGAUGAAAGCUGGGGGAGCAAACCGGAUUAGAUACCCGGGUAGUCCCAGCUGUAAACUAUGCAAACUCAGUGAUGCAUUGGCUUGUGGCUAAUGCAGUGCUGCAGGGAAGCCGUUAAGUUUGCCGCCUGGGAAGUACGUACGCAAGUAUGAAACUUAAAGGAAUUGGCGGGGCAGCAC
rnacentral:rRNA from 1 species